rnacentral:rRNA from 1 species
AAUCACUUGUCUUUUAAAUUGAGACCUGUAUGAACGGAAUCACGAGGGCUUAACUGUCUCCUCCCUCCAGUCAAUGAAAUUGAUCUCCCCGUGCAAAAGCGGGGAUUCCCACAUAAGACGAGAAGACCCUGUGGAGCUUUAGACACCCCAGACAAACCAAGCAAAAUUAGCCUAAACCACCAGGCUAAGACCCGACUUAGUCCCUGCCUGGAUAUCUUUGGUUGGGGCGACCACGGGGAAAAAUAAACCCCCCACGUAGAAUGGGAGCAACUUUCUUAAUACACAUUUUCUCUCAUCCUCCUUAAACCCAGAAUGCCAAUUCAAAGUAGCAGAACUUUCUGAUCUAGUAUUGAUCCCUCACGGCCGAGCAACGGACCGAGUUACCCCAGGGAUAACAGCGCCAUCCCCUUCCAGA